AGAUGGGAGCACCCAGCUUCAGUGUUCAGAAGCAGAUUUAGGCCGACUUCCAUACCUUACAUCCUGGAGGGAUCCACCCUGACUUGAGCAGACGGCAUCACACACAUUCCCAAGCAGCAUUGUUCCCAUGAGAAACUGAAAACGUAUUUAUUUGAAUCUAGAAGGCAUCUUCCCUCUUCCAGGUGUAACCAGAGUUUUUCCUGGAGCGAUUCCAGCGUGUUUCCUUUUGGUGCCUUCCUUAAGAAAUUUUGCAGCUGUUUCUGGUGCAGUUUUUGGGUGGGCUCUGGGGUGGGCAGACGAUCUUCACUUUGCAGAGGCUGCUCCUUUUGUGAGUGGAGCUGGUGGUGAGGGAGUAGGAGAGGCCUCGCAUCAUCCUGGCAUUCAGGCCCUUAGCCAUGGAGAAGGACUUGAGGUGGCUUCUUAAGGCAAUGGGGAGCGGGAGCUUGUCCACCAGAUGCACAGGUGUGCAGGACACGAUGGUGCGGCAGCAGAGGUCUUGCAAGCUCAGUACCUUGCUCGGCCUCCCGAGCCAGUUCAACCUGUGCCGCAGCAGCACUAUCCUGGCCAGCUCCGUGAAAGACUCUAUGAUGUUGAAAUUGCACAGAGGGCUGACCUCAAAGAAGG
rnacentral:antisense_RNA from 1 species